rnacentral:miRNA from 15 species
UGCAUGCUCUGCGGACUUGGCA